AAACGGAAACUUUCCCUAUCAGAGUGUCCACACCGAGUGGCAAAGUCCUGACGCCAGCAAACUUGUGGAAACCACCCCCUCGCAGCCAGGGCUGCCUCUAGGGCACACGAUGGCCAUUCCAGCCACAAAACAAGCCGCACUGAUUAGCACAGGCGCCAUAACUCACUCUGAGUAUGCAGAUGUGUAUGCAAAGGGAAGAGGCCUACCCACGGGGAAGAUAAAACUCAAUUAGCAGGAGCGUCAGCAAUAUCCCUGAGGAGAACACAGCUCCGUGCUCGUACACCUGUGGGGAAGAGGAUUCUCUGUGUGAGGAAGGAACCCGCCAGCAGCGCCCCGAGCCAGGACGCCCAGGGAGGUGACCCUGACGUCCCCACCCGGCUUGGUCCUCCGCUAGAGCUUCAGCUGCUCUUCCUGCGUUAAAUCUGCAUCACGGUCGUCCUGCAAGGCAGACAUCACCACAGCAAGUAGAGCGUUCUGACCUGGGUGGAGUGACCCCGACCUUUGUACCAGACCCAUGAGGUCAAGGUCAAAGUGCUUUUGGGGAAAUAAAUCAUAUAACCUUUAUUUUAAUGACA
rnacentral:lncRNA from 12 species